UGGGGUACGAGCACGCGCACACACACACACACACACACACACACACACACACACACGUAGCCGUGGAGACGGUUGUGUUUCACUUGUGAACACAGAACUGCAGUGAUCGCAGAGCAGCAGCCCGACUCCGGUUCUGGGCUGAAGGCUUCAGGAUCGGGACUUGCUGACCCAGUGGUACUUGUCAACUCGAGGCCCAGUGAAGGUGAACGUGGCUCGAUAGGACUUGAAGCCUUUCGGGCCCGAGAACUGAGAGGUCGCACUUCCAGCUGGAGGAGCAUGAGGAGGGAACGUCUCCGCAGCGAAGACCUUCCUCUUCUCCCUCAGCCACGUCUGAGGGGCGCCAGGAGAAAACUCACUGAACUGAGGAGCAGAACAUCACAUGUUCUAUGCUGUUGGGGUUGCUGACGGUCGGUAUGGUUUUGGGUUCAGGGAUCGGAGCCGGGCAGAGAGCCGAUAGGCUGCUGAAGCCGCUGCUACUGCUGCUGCUGCUCAUGCUGUUGUCUCCGCCCCCCUCUUCCUCAUCAGAGGAGCUUCCCGAGGGGACGUCGUGACUCGCCCGCUCCACGGCCUGGUGGAUACGGCGGGAGAACUCCCUGUCUCCACGCCGACAACUGUCCACCACCGAGACACAGAAUGGAGCGCUGUGUUCUCCGUACCUGAGGAGGAAAACAAAGUCAUACAUCCAUUUUCUGCAUUGGAUUCAAACACCUAAAUACCAUUGUAAGGAAUGUUACGCUUCUUUUUUCAUAUCUGGAAAAGAGUCGAUAGAUUCAUACAGUAGUGAGCUGGUCCUUGGAUGUUCAAUAAACUAUUUUUCCAGCCUCCUGUGUGUGAAGGGUCUGACCUGCAGGACACUUCUCCUGGGUCGACCCACACCGUCAGCUCCUGGGGAAGGCCCAGGUCCUGGUACUGCACAACACUGCGAUCACAGGCCUGCUGGAGCACCGGGUCCUGCAGCCGCACACGGUUCAUACGCAGACACCUGAAACACACACGGUGGUGAGGAGGAGGUUCUGACGACUCUGCUGCAUGUGGCAACUCGUUCCACCAUCGAGGAACCAGAUCGGUCUGGACUCUGGAGUGUGACGGAGAAGAGACGACAAUUCUCGUCUUCUUUCACCUUCAGAGUCUCGAUGAAAACAUUGAUUUAAUUGGAAAUACAUUCACUCUCUUGCCUCUAGUACUGGGACAGUUUUUAAAAAUGUGAUUUUUGCCUCAACCCCACAGAGGAGAAUGAAAUGUCAUUGGUAAGGAUCACAGCUAAGAAGAAAAACUAACUACAAGAGGCAGACGUCAGUUGGUUGGCAUUGAAUAGAGCAAUGUUUUAAAUUCAAAGUUAACCAACUGUAAACAGAUUAGAGCUGCAUUGUAUCAUUUACACAUUCAGCUUUUAAUUUCUUUAAAGUCUCACCACAGAUAAUGAAAUGUCAUUGAGGAUUUAAAUCUUAAAACAAUUAGAAAUAUCUCCAUCGCUGAAUAUUACAAGGAAACGGUUUUCCAGACCUCACUCAAUAAACAUUUAGUUUUAUUGAUACGUCCAUCUUAGAUUGUUGAGUAUUGACAGGCAGCGGCUCAAUGAAGGAGUUAGCUGGAGGAAGAAGUGAUGAUGAUGAUGAUCUACCAGUGUACUGACCUGUAGGCCUGUCCCUUGCUGGGGGCCUUUGGGUGCCAGUGGUUCUUGUAGUUUUCAAACAGAACGGAUGUGAGAGCGGCAGCAAACCUGUCUCUGCUGUCAGCGUCCAGAGACCCAUACCUCUUCACCAGCCGAGCCACAAAGAACACGGCAGCAGCGAUCUCUUCCUUCAUGACCACACACACACUCAGUCAGCGUCUGAACCUCUGGUCUAAUAAACACAACCAGACCUGCACAGUUAAAAACUCUGUCAAUAAAACCUACAGAUAAAACUAACGAGGAGAAACUUGGCUGCUGGAGCUCUGGAGAGAACUCAGCUUUGAUUCCUGAUGCUGCGACAAAUAUCAAAACAUAUAAAUCAACUUUUCAUCUCCAACACCGGAAUCAGUGCAUGAAGCAGCAGUGGAAACCUCACACGUCAGAUACUGAGCGAAUCUCUUCCUCCUCACUUUCUCAUGAGGUUUAAUAAAAUCACAGUUCAGCUGUGAGACCAGACGACACACCUGAGGCUGGUUGACUUAAUGUCUCUCUCCCUCUCUCUCUCUCUCUCUCUCUCUCUCUCUGCAGCUCCUCAGAGUUGAAUUGUGGAAGUAGUCAGACACAACUGAGGAAAUAUUAUUGGGUCAAUUAUUCAAAAUUACAGCAAAACUAUUACAGAGUGAAAUUCCUGCAUAUGAAUGAAUAUGGGCCAAUUAAAUAUUUCUCCCUCAGAGAUGAGAAUAUUAUAUAAUAUAAUAUAAGAUGUUGUCUUUAAGGAGACACGUUCACUUUUUCUUUUACAGGUUUUCCUGAGGCUUCUGAACGCCUCAUCAGCGUCCAGCUGAUGUUUCAUUGUGACAUCCUGAUGUUACAGGUGUGAGGGAUAGCAUUCUAUUACUGUAUAUUUCAUAUGAUAAUUAUGAUAAUAUACUUUAUUACUCAACUACUGUUUUUUUUUAUUUAACUUGCUCUUUUUAAUGGAUCUUUCCUGCAAAAGCUUUUCCACAUAAUUAAACUUAACAUCUUAAAUCUUUCAUCUUAAAUAUUCAGUUUCAUUGUGAAACCAGAGAAUCUGUCAUUUUGUUUGAAAAAUGACAAAACACUUAAAAGCUAAAUUGAGUUAAAUUACUUUUGUCAAUUGAUUUGUUCAUUUCAUGUUCGUCAGUUUGUUUUU